CGGGUGAGUAACACGUGGAUAAUCUGCCCUUUAGUGGGGAAUACCGUUGGGAAACCGACGACAAUACCGCAUAAGCUCGAGAGAGGAAAGCGGCUUUAUGAAAGUAGAGCCGCGCUGAAGGAGGAGUCCGCGGCCGAUUAGCUAGUUGGUAGGGUAAUGGCCUACCAAGGCUGUGAUCGGUAGCCGGCCUGAGAGGGCACACGGCCACACUGGCACUGAAACACGGGCCAG
rnacentral:rRNA from 1 species